GAUGAACGCUGGCGGCGCGCCUAACACAUGCAAGUCGAACGGCACCCCUCUCCGGAGGGAAGCGAGUGGCGAACGGCUGAGUAACACGUGGAGAACCUGCCCCCUCCCCCGGGAUAGCCGCCCGAAAGGACGGGUAAUACCGGAUACCCCGGGGUGCCGCAUGGCACCCCGGCUAAACCCCGACGGGAGGGGAUGGCUCCGCGGCCCAUCAGGUAGACGGCGGGGUGACGGCCCACCGUGCCGACAACGGGUAGCCGGGUUGAGAGACCGACCGGCCAGAUUGGGACUGAGACACGGCCCAGACUCCUACGGGAGGCAGCAGUGGGGAAUCUUGCGCAAUGGGGGGAACCCUGACGCAGCGACGCCGCGUGCGGGACGGAGGCCUUCGGGUCGUAAACCGCUUUCAGCAGGGAAGAGUCAAGACUGUAC
rnacentral:rRNA from 1 species